UGGAUUUGCAGCAGAGACACCCUGCUAAGGGACAAGUAUUUUGACUUACAGCAAAGAGGACAAAGAGAAGCAGCAAGCUCUAAGGUUUGAAUGCUGGAUUUGCUGGCUGGCCCUUCCACAUCAAGGCAAGAGCUUGACCACGGAGCCACACCCCAGUGCCUGCAGCCCAGUUAUUAAUGAAUCAGAUUUUCUUGCAACGUGCUGAAUUAAGAUGAGUUUCAUAGCCUGCGUAGUCUAUGGCCGUCAUUGCUUUCUGCAUCAGACAACUCUUGGGAACGUGUUUGCAGUCUUUCACCUUCUCGUGACCAGUUUCAACAAGUAUGGUAGGGAAUACCGUGGGACGUUCUAUUUGACUUCACUUGGGAUAAUUUGACGUCUAACUUGAAUGAUCAACUAAAGAAUGAGCAAAUUGUUCCAAUAAUGGAUGACAAAUGGCCUAUGCUAUUCUCACUGAGAGGUUGUUCCGGGGAGCAUUUAUAAAGGUGCGAGGAUAUCUGUAGGAGUAAAUUCUUUCCUCCUAACACAUGGUCCCGAAUAUCAAACUCAAGUGAUCAGGGCUGGAGGCAUUCACCCACUAACCACCUCACUAACCACACCCUACAGGGUUUGUUUUUUUUUUUUAUAUAUAUAUAAGCAGAGUUAUCAUAUUAGAAUUUCACUUUUAAUUUCUAACUUUGGAUCCAAAAUAUAUACUAUAUAUUUUACAUAUAUUUUAUAUGGAGUUUUGGGUUGUGAGAAAAAUCUACUCCAAUAAGAGAAAAGGCUAAAAAGGGGCUUAGGAAGAAUCUAGUGAUACUGCAGAUAGCAUUAGCAUGAGACGCUGUCUCACCAUCUAGCCACAGGGAGAUAAGCAUGUCAUCACAUGUCCGUCUGGUAGAAUUAUAACAGACAUUACAGCUGCUGGCACAGUGCUUUUCAACCUUCCUAACACCCUGGCCCUUUAAUAUAGUUCUUCAUGUUGUGGUGGCCUCAACUAUGAAAUUAUUUCACUGCUUCUGCAUGACUGUAAUUUUCCAAUGGCGAUAAAUCAUAUGGAUUUAAAUAUCCAUGUUUUCUAAUGGUCUUAGGUGACCCCCGUGAAAAUGUCAGGGCCCACAGGUUGAGAACCAUUGUGCUAGCGGCUCCAAACUAUUUAAGCGGAGGAAUUUCUUCUUUUCUCUUCUAGUUAGCUCUUUAUUUCUAUAGCUUGAAUCUCUCACUUCCACUUGCGCCCCAAUGUGAAGGCAUUUUCAUGCCAACUAUGUGCUAAGUGUUGGUUUAAGUCCUUUGUAUAGUUUGCCUCAUGAGAAAUUGAUUAAACUGUUAAGAAUUAUCAUUAUGCCCAGUUCACACAUUAAGGAAAGAAAGCCUGAUGUUUGGAUGGUUUUGUCAGCUAGUAAGCAAAGAAACUAGGUUGGAUGAAGGCAGGUUAAAUAUAAAACUUCUUUCAAGCACAUGAGAACAUGGAUUUUAAUUUGUCAACCUCAGUCUUCUUGAAGUUUCUUGGGAUUGACUUGAGUAUCAUUUGAAGGACAUGGAAAGGUUAUCCCAUUUUCUUUUUACCCAAGUCUUUCCAGAGAGCCCAUGUAUUACAAGACUACAGUCUUUUUAUUAACAUUGCAUGGUGGAGUCUAGGCAAUGAGAACAAUAAAGAGCCAGGCAGUCAGACUUUACAGCCUGAUGGCAGUUACAUUCCCUGAUGUCUAUUGGUAUGUCUUCAAGGUCUUUUGUCUUACAGUUUUGAUUGUAUUUAGAUAAAGCUUCAGUAAGAGAGUGGUUUAGUUUUCCUGAUGGAAAGUUUAAUUUAGCUCUUCUGCAUGUUGCUCUUAGCUUGUUUGUAGAAAUAAUCGUUUAGUUAAUGAGGGUGCACUCUUUCUGAGUACUGCCUUUAAAAUGAAUUUCCAUAGAUUUACAUAAAUUCCCCGGGGAUCGCUAUAAUGUGAGCAAAGAAAGAAUUGCCCAGCUGUGCAUUCAUUUAACGGAAUUAUGAAGCUUUAGAGUUUGGGUUCUGAGAAAGAUAACUGUGGGAAAGAGUCACUCAAACUGUUGGAGGAGUAAUCCUUAAAAGAAUUUGUUCUCACUUUGAUAGAAGGCUAUCUUAGAAGAAGCAAUAAUCCAAGGUUUUAAAAAUUUGUCUUAGGCAAAGCUCAUGAAAAAGCUGAACUUUCCAAAAAUCACUCAUUCUAUUUGAACACUCAUGUUAAUAUUUUAUUAUAGUAAUUUAAAAGUAGGGACUUAUUGAAAAUUAAUUUCAUCAGAAGUAGAGAGAAUUAGUAAAAGACCAAUAAGUCAUGCCCCAAACUCAAAACCAAUAGCCUCUUUAUACAUUUACCUUGACACUUGGAAGUGGGUCCUGAAUCUCUUCAGAUUUACUGCUUGUGUUCUUUACGUCAGUCACAUUUCAGUCUAUGUGCUACUCACAUGGAUUUUUGCCUUCUAGUUAACCUUUUCUUCUUUACAUCAUUCUGUCCCAAAUAGUUAUGUGCUUUUAUACUCUGUGGCUGACUCUCCAUGUUGGCUAGAAUGACCUAAUGUCCUGAUAAUGAUUGUUUGAUUCCUCUUGUGUUGGAUUAUAACAAUGUGAGUUAUACUCUUCUGAAGGACAAUUUAGCCUUAUGCAUUCAAGGACAAUUUAGCCAGCCCUUUAUAAAUGUUUGGUUUUUGCUCAAGGACCCCUUUUUCUCAAGAAUAUGAAGGAAUCAAUACUGAUUUAUGUUUGGUGUUGAAAGAACCACCACUGAUUGAUACAUAGGUUCAUCUUCGUGCAUGGAUACUGCAAUCAGUAAGUUCUUAGUAGUACAUGGAUAAUGUUCUAUGUGGGAUUUGGGAACGGAAGCAGCUCAUUUCUAGAAAAUAAAGUAUAUCAAUAUAUUUUGUACAUUUGUUUUGUUCCAGAAUUGUUUUUUGAUUUCCUUGCAUAAAAUUUUGUGACUUAAGCACUCAGAUGAUCACAUUUGCAGAUAAGAAAAUGGGAAACAAAAAGGCUAAAUGACUGUGCUAUGGGAAUCUCAGAUAAUGUUUGGGAUAGCCAUGGUGCUAGCCUUGACACUUGAACUACACACACACACACACAC
rnacentral:sRNA from 1 species